UGAGUAUCUUUUGUUUGCUCCGUGCUU
rnacentral:piRNA from 1 species